CUUCAAAGAGACACGUAAGGGCAGCGAAGACGACUCCUCGUUUGAAAACUCCCCCAUUUGGCUGGCUAAAUAAAGGGGCAUCACCUCAAAGGGGACAUGGACCAUACCCUGCUGUUAAGCCUCGGGAUGAAAGACAACCAGAUCAACAGAAGAUGGGAAAGAUUCUGUGAAUCGAGCUACUGUCCAUCCUGGGGAUGAGACCUGGAUCCUUGCUCCUCUUCCUCAGACACCAUCUCUCUUGAUUGAUUACGUUCUCCCUUGUCUUUGAAAACAGGAACUUCCUUGCCUGAUUCAGUUCAA